AACGAACGCUGGCGGCAUGCCUAACACAUGCAAGUCGAACGAGACCUUCGGGUCUAGUGGCGCACGGGUGCGUAACGCGUGGGAACCUGCCCUUAGGUUCGGAAUAACUCCCCGAAAGGGGUGCUAAUACCGGUUAAUGUCUUCGGACCAAAGAUUUAUCGCCUUUGGAUGGGCCCGCGUUGGAUUAGCUAGUUGGUAGGGUAAAAGCCUACCAAGGCGACGAUCCAUAGCUGGUCUGAGAGGAUGAUCAGCCACACUGGGACUGAGACACGGCCCAGACUCCUACGGGAGGCAGCAGUGGGGAAUAUUGGACAAUGGGCGAAGGCCUGAUCCAGCAAUGCCGCGUGAGUGAUGAAGGCCUUAGGGUUGUAAAGCUCUUUUACCCGGGAUGAUAAUGACAGUACCGGGAGAAUAAGCUCCGGCUAACUCCGUG
rnacentral:rRNA from 1 species